UUAAGAAUAAAGUUAUAUCAUUCUAUAUUCCGCAUUCAACUGAACAAACAGUCCAGCAUAGCCGAUCCACCGCGAGUGUGUGGAAGGGCAUGCAUGGAAAUGCUCCAUUUGCACAGCGCGCCUGCGCGACAGUCUGCUGCCAGAGGCUGUGAAACGGCGACAACAGUAAAAAUACUGAAAUAUUGUCAAUCAGCGAGCGAACAAGGAGAGUUGAAAGGCAGUAAGAAAGGGGAAUAAGAAAAGACGAGAGACAGGGAGAGUGGAAGAGAGAAGAAUCCAGAGCAAAGAGGCAGGGACAGUCCUCUCAGUUCUAUCUCCUGAUAAGAGACACUCAAGAGUGGAGCUAUUUGUUUGUACAGGAGUGUAACCACAACCCCUACACUCACACACACACGCACACACGCAACAUAAUAAACUUUAACCAAACCGAAAAGUAAAGUAAAAUAAAAGAAAAUAAAAAAAAAACGAGGAAAAAAUAUGUUUUACAGCUCAGAAAUUUAAUACGAUCGGUUAAAGUGAAAGUAAGCGGCAUAUAUACAUACCCAUCCAUACAUAUAUACGAUAUAUAUAUGUGUGUAGGUUUGCACGGAUGUGUGACAUCACUCUAGUACUGGCGGUGGCGAUUGACCAUGCCCGAACUACUGAUUUGGCUGGUUCCUACAUGGGUACUUUCCGGACUAACCCUAUGGUAAACGAACGCCGAACCACUCAAAGAAGAGACAAAAAAUGUUGCUCUGUAUACUCUACAACCCACCGCGCACCAGCCCCCGAACUAGUUCGGUUUGGAUGCAACGUCUCACCAGUAGACGAAGAAACGAAAAAGCAUGAGAGGAAAAUGAAGAUAGCAGGUACAUAGCUACAAAUGAUGCUGAUCUGCUCUUCUCCUUUCCCUUUUCUGUUUUCGGUAAUUUCAUUGCUGGAAUGUUCUUUGCGUUUGGCGUUUGUGCAAGUCAGUGCGGCUGUCCAAGUGAUUAUAAUUAUUCAAUUUUAAACAGUAAGUCAAAGCAAAUGUAUAGCAAACGGCAUUUGCGUAGGCUCAAUAAAGAAAUAUAAGACAAAUAUGCAGCCAAACAUAAGCGUGUUAGCGGAGAAACAGUGUCGUGCAGUGAAAUAGAAAAAGUUUAAGGCCGCGAAAUAGGAGAGACAAUCGACGAAAAUUAAACAAAUGGAAAGUGACACUGAAAAAUUUAAAGAACUUCUUUAGAGUUUUGAUUGAUGCCAUAACUGUAGAUACGGGGGGGACUGGAUCAGCUGAAGUCCAGAUUAGAAAGGCCCUACAGCUGCAAAAAAAAAACAUUUUUUCAAAAACAGAACCACCGCGAACAGCAGACCUUAAUUAGUAAAUUUAAAAACUUAAAUGAAAUAUAUAAUAAAAUAAAAAUUUAAAUAUGAAAUGAAA